UCCCCGGUAGCUCAGUUGGUAGAGCGGGUGACUGUUAAUCACUAGGUCGUUGGUUCGAGUCCGACCCGGGGAGCCA
rnacentral:tRNA from 1 species